rnacentral:rRNA from 1 species
AGAGUUUGAUCCUGGCUCAGAUUGAACGCUGGCGGCAUGCCUUACACAUGCAAGUCGAACGGUAACAGGUCUUCGGAUGCUGACGAGUGGCGAACGGGUGAGUAACACAUCGGAACGUGCCCGAUCGUGGGGGAUAACGGAGCGAAAGCUUUGCUAAUACCGCAUACGAUCUACGGAUGAAAGCAGGGGACCCUUGGGCCUUGCGCGGACGGAGCGGCCGAUGGCAGAUUAGGUAGUUGGUGGGAUAAAAGCUUACCAAGCCGACGAUCUGUAGCUGGUCUGAGAGGACGACCAGCCACACUGGGACUGAGACACGGCCCAGACUCCUACGGGAGGCAGCAGUGGGGAAUUUUGGACAAUGGGCGCAAGCCUGAUCCAGCCAUGCCGCGUGCAGGAUGAAGGCCUUCGGGUUGUAAACUGCUUUUGUACGGAACGAAAAGACUCCUUUUAAUAAAGGGGGUUCAUGACGGUACCGUAAGAAUAAGCACCGGCUAACUACGUGCCAGCAGCCGCGGUAAUA